rnacentral:rRNA from 1 species
UGCCAGACUCCUACGGGAGGCAGCAGUGGGGAAUAUUGCACAAUGGGGGAAACCCUGAUGCAGCAACGCCGCGUGAGUGAAGAAGUAUUUCGGUAUGUAAAGCUCUAUCAGCAGGGAAGAAAAUGACGGUACCUGAGUAAGAAGCCCCGGCUAACUACGUGCCAGCAGCCGCGGUAAUACGUAGGGGGCAAGCGUUAUCCGGAUUUACUGGGUGUAAAGGGAGCGUAGACGGCGAUACAAGUCUGAAGUGAAAGCCCGGGGCUCAACCCCGGGACUGCUUUGGAAACUGUGUUGCUGGAGUGCUGGAGAGGCAAGCGGAAUUUCUAGUGUAGCGGUGAAAUGCGUAGAUAUUAGGAAGAACACCAGUGGCGAAGGCGGCUUGCUGGACAGUAACUGACGUUGAGGCUCGAAAGCGUGGGGAGCAAACAGGAUUAGAUACCCUCGUA